UACGUAGGGUGCAAGCGUUAAUCGGAAUUACUGGGCGUAAAGCGUGCGCAGGCGGCUAUGCAAGACAGAUGUGAAAUCCCCGGGCUCAACCUGGGAACUGCAUUUGUGACUGCAUGGCUAGAGUGCGGCAGAGGGGGAUGGAAUUCCGCGUGUAGCAGUGAAAUGCGUAGAUAUGCGGAGGAACACCGAAUGGCGAAGGCAAUCCCUGGGCCUGCACUGACGCUCAUGCACGAAAGCGUGGGGAGCAAACAGG
rnacentral:rRNA from 1 species